UACGUAGGGGGCAAGCGUUGUCCGGAAUCAUUGGGCGUAAAGCGCACGUAGGCGGCUUUUUAAGUCAGGGGUGAAAUCCUGGAGCUCAACUCCAGAACUGCCUUUGAUACUGGGAAGCUUGAGUCCGGAAGAGGUGAGUGGAACUCCGAGUGUAGAGGUGAAAUUCGUAGAUAUUCGGAAGAACACCAGUGGCGAAGGCGGCUCACUGGUCCGGUACUGACGCUGAGGUGCGAAAGCGUGGGGAGCAAACAGG
rnacentral:rRNA from 1 species